GGUACCGUCAGGCCUAACGUGUAUUAUACGUUAGGAGGUUCUUCCCCUCUGACAGAGCUUUACGACCCAAGGGCCUUCAUCACUCACGCGGUAUUGCUGCGUCAGGCUUUCGCCCAUUGCGCAAAAUUCCCCA
rnacentral:rRNA from 1 species